UUACCNGCUUAAAUGGNCUGANAAUCUUCGGACCAAGGUGCUGCAUGGUUGUCGUCAGCUCGUGCCGUGAGGUGUCGGGUUAAGUCCCAUAACGAGCGCAACCCUAUUUUAGUUACCAGCGUACGGGACUCUAGAAGACUGCCUGUGUAACAGGAGGAAGGUGGGGAUGACGUCAAAUCAUCACGGCCCUUAUGCUGGGCUACACACGUGUUACAAUGGACUACAUGGGGCAUGGCAACAAGAGCAAUCCAUAAAGUAUCCCAGUUCGGAUCGGAGUCUGCAACUCGACUCUGUGAAGUUGGAUUCGCUAGUAAUCGUAAUCAGCAUGUACGGUGAAUACGUUCCCGGGCCUUGUACACACCGCCCGUCAAGCCAUGGAAGUUUGGGGCCGAA
rnacentral:rRNA from 1 species